rnacentral:rRNA from 1 species
AACGAACGCUGGCGGCAUGCCUAACACAUGCAAGUCGAACGAGACCUUCGGGUCUAGUGGCGCACGGGUGCGUAACGCGUGGGAACCUGCCCUUAGGUUCGGAAUAACUCCCCGAAAGGGGUGCUAAUACCGGAUAAUGUCUUCGGACCAAAGAUUUAUCGCCGUUGGAUGGGCCCGCGUUGGAUUAGCUAGUUGGUAGGGUAAAAGCCUACCAAGGCGACGAUCCAUAGCUGGUCUGAGAGGAUGAUCAGCAACACUGGGACUGAGACACGGCCCAGACUCCUACGGGAGGCAGCAGUGGGGAAUAUUGGACAAUGGGCGAAAGCCUGAUCCAGCAACGCCGCGUGAGUGACGAAGGCCUUAGGGUUGUAAAGCUCUUUUACCCGGGAUGAUAAUGACAGUACCGGGAGAAUAAGCUCCGGCUAACUCCGUG